rnacentral:rRNA from 1 species
UCUUGGCCAGCCUUCUGAAAGGAAGAUUAAUCCAGGAUGGCAUCAUGAGUUCACAUGUCCGCAUGAUUAAAGGUAUUUUCCGGUAGACGAUGGGGAUGCGUUCCAUUAGAUAGUAGGCGGGGUAACGGCCCACCUAGUCAACGAUGGAUAGGGGUUCUGAGAGGAAGGUCCCCCACAUUGGAACUGAGACACGGUCCAAACUCCUACGGGAGGCAGCAGUGAGGAAUAUUGGUCAAUGGGCGAUGGCCUGAACCAGCCAAGUAGCGUGAAGGAUGACUGCCCUAUGGGUUGUAAACUUCUUUUAUAAAGGAAUAAAGUCGGGUAUGCAUACCCGUUUGCAUGUACUUUAUGAAUAAGGAUCGGCUAACUCCGUGCCAGCAGCCGCGGUAAUACGGAGGAUCCGAGCGUUAUCCGGAUUUAUUGGGUUUAAAGGGAGCGUAGAUGGAUGUUUAAGUCAGUUGUGAAAGUUUGCGGCUCAACCGUAAAAUUGCAGUUGAUACUGGAUGUCUUGAGUGCAGUUGAGGCAGGCGGAAUUCGUGGUGUAGCGGUGAAAUGCUUAGAUAUCACGAAGAACUCCGAUUGCGAAGGCAGCCUGCUAAGCUGCAACUGACAUUGAGGCUCGAAAGUGUGGGUAUCAAACAGGAUUAGAUACCCUGGUAGUCCACACGGUAAACGAUGAAUACUCGCUGUUUGCGAUAUACGGCAAGCGGCCAAGCGAAAGCGUUAAGUAUUCCACCUGGGGAGUACGCCGGCAACGGUGAAACUCAAAGGAAUUGACGGGGGCCCGCACAAGCGGAGGAACAUGUGGUUUAAUUCGAUGAUACGCGAGGAACCUUACCCGGGCUUAAAUUGCACUCGAAUGAUCCGGAAACGGUUCAGCUAGCAAUAGCGAGUGUGAAGGUGCUGCAUGGUUGUCGUCAGCUCG